rnacentral:tmRNA from 1 species
GGGGCUGAUUCUGGAUUCGACGGGAUUUGCGAAACCCAAGGUGCAUGCCGAGGGGCGGUUGGCCUCGUAAAAAGCCGCAAAAAAUAGUCGCAAACGACGAAAACUACGCUUUAGCAGCUUAAUAACCUGCUUAGAGCCCUCUCUCCCCAGCCUCCGCUCUUAGGACGGGGAUCAAGAGAGGUCAAACCCAAAAGAGAUCGCGUGGAAGCCCUGCCUGGGGUUGAAGCGUUAAAACUUAAUCAGGCUAGUUUGUUAGUGGCGUGUCCGUCCGCAGCUGGCAAGCGAAUGUAAAGACUGACUAAGCAUGUAGUACCGAGGAUGUAGGAAUUUCGGACG